rnacentral:rRNA from 1 species
AGACCCGAAACCCGGUGAUCUAGCCAUGGGCAGGUUGAAGGUUGGGUAACACUAACUGGAGGACCGAACCGACUAAUGUUGAAAAAUUAGCGGAUGACCUGUGGCUGGGGGUGAAAGGCCAAUCAAACCGGGAGAUAGCUGGUUCUCCCCGAAAGCUAUUUAGGUAGCGCCUCGUGAAUUCAUCUCCGGGGGUAGAGCACUGUUUCGGCUAGGGGGCCAUCCCGGCUUACCAACCCGAUGCAAACUGCGAAUACCGGAGAAUGUUAUCACGGGAGACACACGGCGGGUGCUAACGUCCGUCGUGAAGAGGGAAACAACCCAGACCGCCAGCUAAGGUCCCAAAGUCAUGGUUAAGU